rnacentral:Y_RNA from 1 species
AGUUGGUCUGAAAGUAGUGGGUUAUCAAUGUGUGCUUUCCAUCCCUUUUUCCUCCCCCUACUGUCCUUGACCGAUUUUAU